CAUUAGUCACGCGUGUAUCCGGCGCGGGCGCAGGUCGCGUCGCUCUGCACUCUGCGUCUCGAUAAUAACGUAACACUGUUUGCAAUAAAAAAAAACUCGUUAAAACGAAAGAGAAACGACUUCUUUUGUCGCUAAAGGGUAGUAGGUCAGUGAAAAGUUAAAGUAAAAGUGAUUAAAAAGUUAAAAGGGACACACCGAAAUAGUUUAUAAUUUUUGCCUUGAUUUUUGGAACGAUUGAUUGGGUUUUAGUGACUGAUAGUGUUUAAUUAAAAGGAAAACAUGACAUGAGUAUAGUGAUUUCAUCCAAGAAAUUGUUGUUACUAGAAAUGUGAGUAAUGUGACUCAACUAAUAUGACAUUGGAUUGUGAUAACAGUGCUGUGGAAUUUAUUUCUUUCAAAUAAAUCGUCUAGUGCUAGAGUCACGUUGUGUAUAGUGUCUGUAUUUACAUAAAAGUUAAACGUUUACAAGUUCUCCUUGGCUAGAAACUAAGAUCUGAAAAUCGAAUCUUCAAAAUGCAACGACCGAUAAUGCGAUUGCUCAUCUGGGCGUGUCUGGUGGGGCUCUGCUGGUGUCAAAGGGCGGAGCACCUGCUCGCACAGAACCCCUGUUCCAGCAAGACGAGCUGCAGCAACUGCAUUCGCACCCCCAGCUGUGCGUGGUGCUUCGCCCCCGAGUUCAAUGGACCCCGGUGCUUCAACCCCGCGAUGGAGGGCGGCACCGCAGGCUGCAGCGAGGAGUAUAUCUUCAACCCGGACAACCAGCGCUCUAUCGACCCUAUAUACAAUAAGGAGCUGACUAGAGCACAAGGCCGCAUGAGCAUGAGCUCGUCUACCUUCGAAGAGUCCAGCAUGAAAGGCGGCAGCUUCGCAGCUGGCGGCGGAGGCUUCGGAGCAGCGGCUGGUGGCGACAACCUGGUGCAAAUCAGGCCACAGCGAGUCAAACUGCAGUUGAGACAAAAUGCGAUGCAGACGCUGUCUUUCUCGUACUCCCAAGCUCAAGAUUAUCCCGUUGACUUGUACUACCUUAUGGACCUCAGUCGCUCCAUGAAGAACGACAAGGAGAAGCUCAGUACCCUCGGAUCUCUGCUGUCCAGUACAAUGAGGAAUAUUACAUCAAAAUUCAGAAUUGGUUUUGGUUCCUUUGUGGAUAAACUCGUCAUGCCAUAUGUGUCAACUGUGCCUAAAAACUUGAAAUCGCCUUGCGAGGGCUGCGCUGCCCCCUAUGGAUUCAUCAACCAGAUGUCGCUUAGCACCGAUACUGAUAGUUUUGACAGGGCAGUAGCGGACGCAGACGUGUCCGGCAACCUGGACGCGCCGGAGGGAGGCUUCGACGCCAUCAUGCAGGCCGUGGUGUGCAAGCAGCAGAUCGGCUGGCGCGACCAGGCACGGAGGCUGCUGGUGUUCUCGACCGACGCCGGGUUCCAUUAUGCUGGGGACGGCAAGCUUGGAGGUAUCGUUCAACCAAACGACGGAGAAUGUCACAUGGAAAAUAAUACGUACACGCAUUCAACCAUUCAAGAUUACCCAAGUAUUUCACAGAUCAAUCUAAAGGUGAAACAAAACGCAAUAAACGUUAUAUUCGCGGUGACGACGGAACAAAUUGGCGUGUACGAGGAACUGAGCAAACACAUCGAGGGCUCAAGUAGUGGUGUGCUCAGUGAAGACUCGGGUAACGUCGUGGAGCUCGUGAGAGACCAAUAUAAUAAAAUUACGUCCACAGUCGAGAUGAAAGAUACAUCAAGCGAUGCCGUGCAAAUAUCUUAUUACUCAUCGUGCAAGGGCGGCAAGGAGAAGGAGCAGACCAACAAGUGCGACGGGCUCAAGGUUGGAGAUGUAGUCGAAUUCACCGCUGAGAUCACGUUGAAGGAGUGCCCGAAGGACCCGGAAAAGUGGAAACAAUCAUUCCAGAUUUACCCUGUCGGUGUGUCUGAGACCCUUCACGUGGAAGUGGAAAUGCUCUGUGACUGUCCCUGCGAGCAUAAAGGACACCAUGCCUACGACGACAGCGUAUCCGUAUGCAGCGGGCAGGGGAUCUCCGCUUGCGGAGUUUGCCUUUGCAACCCCGGGCGCUUCGGGAAGGGCUGCGAAUGUUCGGCGCACGGCGGCGUGUCCCUGGAGCAGGAGCGCGGCUGCCGCCCCACCAACUCCACCUUCGGGCCGCUGUGCUCCAACCGCGGCACCUGCAUCUGCGGCGUGUGCGAGUGCAACAAGAUGGAGGACUCCUCCAAGGUGAUAUCUGGCCCGUUCUGCGAGUGCGACAACUUCACGUGCGACUUGAACAAGGGCAAGCUGUGCUCGGGCCCCGAGCACGGCGAGUGCGUGUGCGGCAAGUGCAGCUGCCGGCCCGAGUACACCGGGCCCGCCUGCCAGUGCCUGCGCGACCAGGCGCCCUGCCGCUCGCCCGAAAACGGUGAAAUCUGCAGCGGCAACGGGAAAUGUGUGUGUGGCCAGUGCGUGUGCAACGUCGACGACGAUCGCCACUACUCCGGCAAAUACUGCGACAAGUGUCCGACGUGCCCGGGCAAGUGCGGCGAGUUCAAGGAGUGCGUGCAGUGCGAGGCGCACCAUCGAGGCCCGCUGUACACGGAGGAGCCCACGGGCGCGCCCUGCGGCAACUGCGCGUUACACCCCAUCAUCGUCGAGGGCAAACUCGAAGCGAACGAAACAUUGAACGAGCAUUUAUGUAGUUUCUACGACGACGAAGACUGCUUGUACCUUUACGUGUACUCGUACGACGAAAACCAGCGCUUGCUCAUCCGGGCGCAGAAGGAACGAGAAUGUCCAAAGAAGGUGUUCAUCCUGGGCAUAGUCCUGGGCGUGAUCGCGGCCAUCGUGCUGGUGGGGCUGGCGCUGCUGAUGCUGUGGAAGAUGGUCACCACCAUCCACGACCGUCGCGAGUUCGCGCGCUUUGAGAAGGAGCGCAUGAUGGCCAAGUGGGACACCGGCGAGAAUCCUAUCUACAAGCAGGCGACCUCAACCUUCAAAAACCCCACGUACGCUGGGAAAUAAUGUGGUUAACAUUAACUUGACGACACUAAACCAACACACAAGUGUCUGGAGCGGUGAAGACAUUUUCUUCGUUGGUUGCAUUUCAUAAGUAAAAUAGUAGCAUUAAAAUUGUGAAAGCUUAUUGCUGGUGUUAGAAAAAGUUGCCUUAUAUUGUGCCUUUCAUAUAUUAAAACAUGUUUUAGUGUUUAUUAUACACUCAUCCGCACAUUAUUGACUAGACUUAAUGUAAUAUUACGUGACUAUAUUUUUGUCAGUUUUAAAAAAAUGCAAAAAACUGUUUCAAUGCUUAUCGAAUAGAAAUUCUGCGUUGCAAAUUUUAAGGUCUGGAAUAAUCUCAAUAUUAUUAUAUUGAAAGCGUUUUGUACUUAUAUGAGGGAGCGGUAUGUGCUUAUGUGUGUGUAGAUGUAGACUCGGCAAGGUACAAAUUGAAAUUUAGCUUUUCUUGCUUGAAAAGUUUGUAGCUUCCAGAAAAGUAGUGUUGUAAAAUAUCUGUCACAACGACCUGUUUAAUUGUAGAAAUAUUGUAUUCAGAGGCAAUCUCGAGUCUGGAAAUCAGUACAUUAUUUUUUUGUGGAUAAAGAUUUUGUAUGUAGUCAUAAAAAGAGUUUAGACGUUAUAGAUGAAUGAAAUUAGAUGUGUUUGUGAACGUGUGUAAGGGGACUCAUUUUGGUUGUCUGUAUUGUCACUGCCAACAGUCAAGGUUUAAUAGGGUAUUUUACUACAGUCUGCCUUAUUUUACUACAUUAUUUCUUGUACUAUCUUUCUUUCUAUUAUCUUUCCUACACUUCUAUUAUACGUGUGCAACUCACAUUUAUUGUAUUAUUAAUUUUUUAAUUUACUUAUAAGUAACUUCAUCAAAAAAGGCAAAAAUAGUAAAUUUACCCUAUUGUCUUCAUCAUAUUGUGUAUGAGAAUGUAUAUUUAAUAGAUUCAAGUUGGCUUCCCUAAUAUUCUGGUGCCUUAUAUUAUACACCCUAUUAACAGUAAAUAAUAAAACUAGUGCCAUUACUAAUAUAUAAAUGAAGCGGUAUUCCGUAUGUAAUAUUUAUUAAAUUAGAUAUUUUGUAAUGACUUGAAUAUUAAUUUUAUUCUGUAAGUGACAUUUCUGAUUAUACGUAAGUUCAAUUUUGUAUUUACCUUAAUUAAUAAUAUUUUGCAUUUUUGUCAAGUUUUUCUAUCGUUAUUUAUAGGUAUUCUCUGACAACACUUUAGUCUUGCCUUUGUAAAAUUAUUUAAAACAUACUUGAAAUAUUUGAAUAAUCUGUAAUUCAAUAUACCUAAUAAGAGCUUAAGUUUAUUUUCAAUAUUUUCAAAGAAUCAAAAUAUAAAAUAUACGCCAAUAGAGGUUUUGAGAUAUUUACGUUUGUAUAUAAUUAUUUUGAUAAAUCUAUAAAUUAUUUUUAUUUUGUCGUGGUCUCUAAUAGUAGCUAAUAAAAAUAUUAACUC